rnacentral:rRNA from 1 species
GUGACGGUACCUGCAGAAGAAGCGCCGGCUAACUACGUGCCAGCAGCCGCGGUAAUACGUAGGGCGCAAGCGUUAUCCGGAAUUAUUGGGCGUAAAGAGCUCGUAGGCGGUUUGUCGCGUCUGCCGUGAAAGUCCGGGGCUCAACUCCGGAUCUGCGGUGGGUACGGGCAGACUAGAGUGAUGUAGGGGAGACUGGAAUUCCUGGUGUAGCGGUGAAAUGCGCAGAUAUCAGGAGGAACACCGAUGGCGAAGGCAGGUCUCUGGGCAUUAACUGACGCUGAGGAGCGAAAGCAUGGGGAGCGAACAGGAUUAGAUACCCUGGUAGUCCAUGCCGUAAACGUUGGGCACUAGGUGUGGGGGACAUUCCACGUUUUCCGCGCCGUAGCUAACGCAUUAAGUGCCCCGCCUGGGGAGUACGGCCGCAAGGCUAAAACUCAAAGGAAUUGACGGGGGCCCGCACAAGCGGCGGAGCAUGCGGAUUAAUUCGAUGCAACGCGAAGAACCUUACCAAGGCUUGACAUGAACCGGUAAUACCUGGAGACAGGUGCCCCGCUUGCGGUCGGUUUACAGGUGGUGCAUGGUUGUCGUCAGCUCGUGUCGUGAGAUGUUGGGUUAAGUCCCGCAACGAGCGCAACCCUCGUUCUAUGUUGCCAGCACGUGAUGGUGGGGACUCAUAGGAGACUGCCGGGGUCAACUCGGAGGAAGGUGGGGACGACGUCAAAUCAUCAUGCCCCUUAUGUCUUGGGCUUCACGCAUGCUACAAUGGCCGGUACAAAGGGUUGCGAUACUGUGAGGUGGAGCUAAUCCCAAAAAGCCGGUCUCAGUUCGGAUUGGGGUCUGCAACUCGACCCCAUGAAGUCGGAGUCGCUAGUAAUCGCAGAUCAGCAACGCUGCGGUGAAUACGUUCCCGGGCCUUGUACACACCGCCCGUCAAGUCACGAAAGUUGGUAACACCCGAAGC